AUACUUACCUGGCAGGGAAGAUACCAUGAUCAUGAAGGUGGUUUUCCCAGGGCAAGGCUUAUCCAUUGCACUCCGGAUGUGCUGACCCCCAUGAUUUCCCCCAAUGUGGAAACGCUACUGCACAAUUUGCGGUAGUGAGGGACUGAAUUUGUGCUCUUCCCUG